UCCGUAGCCGGCUUAGCAAGUCUCCUGUUAAAUUCAGCGACCUAAUCGUUGAGCCGCGGGAGAUACUACUAGGCUAGGAGGCGGGAGAGGCCGACGGUACUUCCGGGGUAGGGGUGAAAUCCUAUAAUCCCGGGCGGACCACCAGUGGCGAAGGCUGUCGGCUAGAACGCGCUCGACGGUGAGGGACGAAAGCUGGGGGAGCGAACAGGAUUAGAUACCCUGGUAGUCC
rnacentral:rRNA from 1 species